GAGUUUGAUCAUGGCUCAGAUUGAACGCUGGCGGCAUGCCUUACACAUGCAAGUCGAACGGCAGCGCGGGGCAACCUGGCGGCGAGUGGCGAACGGGUGAGUAAUAUAUCGGAACGUACCCUGGAGUGGGGGAUAACGUAGCGAAAGUUACGCUAAUACCGCAUACGAUCUAAGGAUGAAAGUGGGGGCUUCGCAAGAACCUCAUGCUCCUGGAGCGGCCGAUAUCUGAUUAGCUAGUUGGUGGGGUAAAGGCCCACCAAGGCUUCGAUCAGUAGCUGGUCUGAGAGGACGACCAGCCACACUGGAACUGAGACACGGUCCAGACUCCUACGGGAGGCAGCAGUGGGGAAUUUUGGACAAUGGGCGCAAGCCUGAUCCAGCAAUGCCGCGUGAGUGAAGAAGGCCUCGGUUGUAAG
rnacentral:rRNA from 1 species